rnacentral:rRNA from 1 species
UACGAGGGAUGCAAGCGCUAUCCGGAAUUAUUGGGCGUAAAGCGUUUGUAGGCGGGCGAGUGUGUUUAAUGUUAAAUCUUAAAGCUCAACUUUGAAAUCGCGUUAAAAACUGCUUGUCUUGAGUAUGGUAGGGGUAAAGGGAAUUCCCAGUGUAGCGGUGAAAUGCGUAGAUAUUGGGAAGAACACUAAACAGCGAAGGCACUUUACUAGGCUAAUACUGACGCUGAGAAACGAAAGGUAAGGUAGCGAAACGGAUUAGAUACCCGUGUAGUCUUACCCGUAAACUAUGGACACUAAACGGUAAAUUUUUAAUUUACUGUUAAAGCUAACGCGUUAAGUGUCCCGCCUGGGGAGUAUGCUUGCAAAAGUGAAACUCAAAGGAAUUGACGGGGGCCCGCACAAGCGGUGGAGCAUGUGGUUUAAUUCGACGGUACACGAAGAACCUUACCAGGAUUUGACAUGCUAGAUAGUUGCUUGAAAGAGUAACGUGCCGUAAGGAAUCUAGACACAGGUGGUGCAUGGCUGUCGUCAGUUCGUGUUGUGAAAUGUUGGGUUAAGUCCCGCAACGAACGCGACCCUUGUCUUUAGUUAUUUUCUAAAGAGACUGCCUGUAAUAAACAGGAGGAAGGUAAGGAUGAGGUCAAGUCAUCAUGCCCCUUAUGUCCUGGGCUACACACGUGCUACAAUGGGAAAGACAAUGAGCUGCAAAUCUGUAAAUUUAAGCAAAUCUCUUAAACUUUCUCGUAGUUCGGAUUGUGGGCUGCAACUCGCCCACAUGAAGUUGGAAUCGCUAGUAAUCGCCAGUCAGCUAUAUGGCGGUGAAUCCGUUCCCGGGCCU